rnacentral:rRNA from 1 species
UACGAAGGGGGCUAGCGUUGCUCGGAAUCACUGGGCGUAAAGGGCGCGUAGGCGGCCUUCUAAGUCAGACGUGAAAUCCCCGGGCUCAACCCGGGAACUGCGUCUGAUACUGGAAGGCUUGAAUCCGGGAGAGGGAUGUGGAAUUCCAGGUGUAGCGGUGAAAUGCGUAGAUAUCUGGAGGAACACCGGUGGCGAAGGCGGCAUCCUGGACCGGUAUUGACGCUGAACGGCGAAAGCUAGGGGAGCAAACGGG